rnacentral:rRNA from 14 species
GUCUACGGCCACACCACUCGGAAGGCACCCACUUGCUUCCGAUCUCAAAAGCUGAGCAGGGUCGGACAGAGUCAGUACGUGUCUGGGAGGAGACCAGGCACCUCCGUAGAGA